rnacentral:misc_RNA from 1 species
GAUGAAGAACGCAGCGAAAUGCGAUACUUGGUGUGAAUUGCAGAAUCCCGAGAACCAUCGAGUCUUUGAACGCAAGUUGCGCCCGAAGCCAUUAGGCCGAGGGCACGCCUGCCUGGGCGUCACACGUCGUUGCCCCCCCUUCUACUCCUUCGGGAUUGCGGGGGGCGGAUGAUGGCCUCCCGUGCGCCUCGUCGCGCGGUUGGCAUAAAUGCCAAGUCCUCGGCGACGCACGCCACGACAAUCGGUGGUUGCGAAACCUCGGUUGCCCGUCGUGUGCGGUCGUCGCGCAUCGAGGGCUCGAAAAAAUUGCCGGGCUCCGGCUCGGCUUUCAACGCGACCCCAGGUCAGGCGGGGUUACCCGCUGAAUUUAAGCAUAUCAAUAAGCGGGGA